rnacentral:rRNA from 1 species
GGCGAACGGGUGAGUAACACGUGAGUAACCUGCCCUUGACCUUGGGAUAACUUCAGGAAACUGGGGCUAAUACCGGAUAGGAGCUCCUGCUGCAUGGUGGGGGUUGGAAAGUCUCGGCGGUUGGGGAUGGACUCGCGGCUUAUCAGCUUGUUGGUGGGGUAGUGGCUUACCAAGGCUUUGACGGGUAGCCGGCCUGAGAGGGUGACCGGCCACAUUGGGACUGAGAUACGGCCCAG